GCCAGUGUGGCAUAGUGGUUUGAGUGUUGGGCUAUGACUCUGGAGACCAGGGUUCAAUUCCUGGCUCAGCCA
rnacentral:tRNA from 1 species